GCUGGGUGUGGUGGCACGCACCUGUAAUCCCAGCUACUUGGGAGGCCGAGGCAGAAGAAUCACUUGAGCCCGGGAGGCAGAGGUUGCAGUGAGCCAAGAUCAUGCCACUGCAUUCCAGCCUGGACGACAGAGUGAGACUCUGUCUCAA
rnacentral:SRP_RNA from 1 species